rnacentral:rRNA from 1 species
ACUCCUACGGGAGGCAGCAGUGGGGAAUAUUGCACAAUGGGCGCAAGCCUGAUGCAGCAACGCCGCGUGAGCGAUGAAGGCCUUCGGGUCGUAAAGCUCUGUCCUCAAGGAAGAAUAAAUGACGGUACUUGAGGAGGAAGCCCGGCUAACUACGUGCCAGCAGCCGCGGUAAUACGUAGGGGGCAAGCGUUAUCCGGAAUCACUGGGGCGUAAAGGGGUGCGUAGGCGGUUUUCAAGUCAGAAGUGAAAGGCUAUGGCUCAACCAUAGUAAGCUUUUGAAACUGUUAAACUUGAGUGCAGGAGAGGAAAGUGGAAUUCCUAGUGUAGAGGUGAAAUUCGUAGAUAUUAGGAGGAACACCAGUGGCGAAGGCGACUUUCUGGACUGUAACUGACGCUGAGGCACGAAAGCGUGGGGAGCGAACAGGAUUAGAUACCCUGGUAGCUCGAUG